CUACUGCUAUCGGGGUGGGACUAAGACAUGCGAGUCGAGCGUCUCUAGCUAUGUUGAGACGCGGCAGACGGCUCAGUAACACGUGGCUAACCUACCCUCAGGACGGGGACAAACCCGGGAAACUGGGGCUAAUAUCCGAUAGGCGAGGAAUCCUGGAACGGUUCUUCACCCAAAGGGCAUUGGAAACAUGCUUUCUCUGUCGCCUGGGGAUGGGGCCGCGACCGAUCAGGUUGUUGGUGAGGUAAUGGCUCACCAAGCCUUUAACCGGUACGGGCCAUGAGAGUGGUAGCCCGGAGAUGGGCACUGAGACAAGGGCCCAGGCCCUACGGGGCGCAGCAGGCGCGAAACCUCCACAAUGCACUCACGUGCGAUGGGGUUACCUCGAGUGCCGCCUUGAAAGGGUGGCUUUUCCAUAGUAUAACUAGCUUUGGGAAUAAGAGGGGGGCAAGACUGGUGUCAGCCGCCGCGGUAACACCAGCCCCUCGAGUGGUGGGGAUGAUUAUUUGGCCUAAAGCGUUCGUAGCCGGUUAUGAAAGUCCUUCGUUAAAUCCAACGUCCCAAGCGUUGGCUUGCGAAGGAUACUACGUAACUAGAGGGUGGGAGAGGUCAGCGGUAUUCUGGGGGUAGGGGCGAAAUCCUUUGAUCCCCGGAGGACCACCAGUGGCGAAGGCUGCUGACUAAAACACGCCUGACGGUCAGGGACGAAAGCUGGGGUAGCGAACCGGAUUAGAUACCCGGGUAGUCCCAGCCGUAAACGAUGCAUGCUAGGU
rnacentral:rRNA from 1 species